rnacentral:rRNA from 1 species
UACGGGGGGAGCAAGCGUUGUUCGGAUUUACUGGGCGUAAAGGGCGCGUAGGCGGCCACUGCAAGUCAGUUGUGAAAUCUCCGGGCUUAACCCGGAAAGGUCAACUGAUACUGCAGGGCUAGAGUGCAGAAGGGGCAACUGGAAUUCGUCGGUGUAGCGUGAAAUGCGUAGGAUAAUCGAGAGGAACACCUGCGGCGAAGGCGGGAUUGCUGGGCUGACACGUGACUGGAGGCGCGAAAGCCAGGGGAGCGAACGGGA